rnacentral:rRNA from 1 species
GGCGAACGCUGGCGGCAGGCCUAACACAUGCAAGUCGAACGAACUCUUCGGAGUUAGUGGCGGACGGGUGAGUAACACGUGGGAACGUGCCUUUUGGUUCGGAAUAACUCAGGGAAACUUGUGCUAAUACCGAAUGUGCCCUUCGGGGGAAAGAUUUAUCGCCAUUAGAGCGGCCCGCGUCUGAUUAGCUAGUUGGUGAGGUAACGGCUCACCAAGGCGACGAUCAGUAGCUGGUCUGAGAGGAAGACCAGCCACACUGGGACUGAGACACGGCCCAGACUCAUACGGGAGGGAGCAGUGGGGAAUCUUGCGGAAGGGGCGAAAGCCUGACGCAGCCAUGCCGCGUGAAUGAUGAAGGUCUUAGGAUUGUAAAAUUCUUUCACCGGGGACGAUAAUGACGGUACCCGGAGAAGAAGCCCCGGCUAACUUCGUG